AUGAUGAAGGAGAUUUCGGCAGAGGUGUGAAGAGACUCGCAUGGGCUGA
rnacentral:snoRNA from 1 species